AUUUAAUAUAAUUGUAGAUGUCAACUCAGUGAAAAAUUGGAUACCACCAAUCUGAGAAUCUGUUUAUAAAUACAGUGGAUUAUUUAUAGAGGAUACCCUAUAAAUAGUUUGAACGGUUGCUAAUGUGAAUUAGUGAUUGUGGUUACGAAAGUAACUCUGGAUAGCAGAUGUACCGACACCUAUUCGAUUUAAACCGCUGUCUUGUCGGCAGGGCAAUAGACGCUCCAGUGGAGAAUAACCCAGAUAAGGCUUUGACUGGUAAUCAAAGCAGUCUCUAAAGUAAAUAUUUCUAUCAGAGGAUAGGAAUAUUUUGGGAAUACCAAUAACCUGUUCAGCAAUGAAAAUCCUGAAUAAAAGGGAUAUAUAAGGCAAGGUCAAGGCACAAGUAGCUCAAUGCUAAGACGAACAUGCAAAAAAUAAUAAUUCAAGAGGUGAAUUAAUUUUAUUUUGAUAUUCUGAAUGGUGAGUGAAAGUUAGAGGUAAUCAAUCCUCUCAUAGAAUGGUAAAUAAUUAGUUUUCAGUAAUGAAAAUCAAUUAUUUACUGGGGUAAGAAGCUAAGAGGUCGCUCCUUUUGGUUCAGACUUAUCUCCUAUGUGGGUGAAAAAAGUAGGGUAGUAACAGUUGGCAAGGCGAAGGUCUGAUAUCUAUGAUUAUAUUAA
rnacentral:sRNA from 12 species